GAUGAAGAGCGCAGCGAAAUGCGAUAAGUAAUGUGAAUUGCAGAAUUCAGUGAAUCAUCGAGUCUUUGAACGCACAUUGCGCCCCCUGGUAUUCCGGGGGGCAUGCCUGUCCGAGCGUCAUUGCCGCCCUCAAGCACGGCUUGUGUGUUGGGCCCCCGCCCCCCGGCUUCGGGGGGCGGGCCCGAAAGGCAGCGGCGGCACCGCGUCCGGUCCUCGAGCGUAUGGGGCUUCGUCACCCGCUCUGUAGGCCCGGCCGGCGCCCGCCGGCGACCCCAAUCAAUCUUUCCAGGUUGACCUCGGAUCAGGUAGGGAUACCCGCUGAACUUAAGCAUAUCAAUAAGCGGAGGA
rnacentral:misc_RNA from 1 species